UAUGUAUUUUUUUUUUUUUGUUGAAAAGAUGUAAAGGAAGCAGUCAUCCCUGUGGUGUUUGUGGAGAGGUUUUCCUUCAGAAAUGGAGAAGACUGAAAGCUGCGGAGGCAGACAUUUGCAGCAGAUUGUUUGCAGAUAAUGCUGUUCAAGCUCAACAGCUCUUUUAAGAGCCAACCCUCACAAACCUUCCUAAAAACUAAAAGAGCUGUUACUGAGUCUCAGCGAAUCUUGCCAUGAUCAGCUCUUCCCAGAAGAGAAGGAAGACCAAGGAAAUGAUUUGCUCAUGAGGAAUGAAGACGGCCAUCUUGAGCCCAAACAAAGACAGAAGUCCUCUGAUGAUCUCAUCAGCCAAAUGGGGGGUUUUGACCAAGUGAUGCUCUUGAAAGGACUGAAAGAAGAGGAUGUGGUAAAUUGUCUUCAGAGAAAAACCUUCUCAAAAGGUCUCAAAACAGCUUGAAGAAUGGUCUGGGAUCUUAGGACUGAGAGAUCCUCUGGCUGAGAGAAGCUACACCACAUCAGUGCUGGAUAUCAACCACAAACAGUUUCCAGACACGAGAGAAGAAGAUCACGAUGGGGAGAUGAAACCAGUUUAGAUGUGAUGAUGGGAAUCAUUAUUUUCUGGAACAGUAUCACAUGUCUUAUAUGCAUCACAUGAUCUGUAUCACAGUUGACUGGAUGGAUUAUUUUUACUUUUAAGGACAUUUCAUCACUCAUCUGUGUGAACUGAUUAAUUUAUGAUAUUAAUGAAUUUUUGAUCCUUUAUUAUUUUCCUUGAAUUGUGUUUGUCUUGAAGCUACUUUAUCAACUUCAUAGUCUAUGCUUCAAUAAAAUUAAUAUGGUGAA